rnacentral:rRNA from 1 species
GGGAAUCUUGCACAAUGGGGGAAACCCUGAUGCAGCGAUGCCGCGUGAGUGAAGAAGGCCUUUGGGUUGUAAAGCUCUUUCGUCGGGGAAGAAAAUGACUGUACCCGAAUAAGAAGGUCCGGCUAACUUCGUGCCAGCAGCCGCGGUAAUACGAAGGGACCUAGCGUAGUUCGGAAUUACUGGGCUUAAAGAGCUCGUAGGUGGUUAGAGAAGUUGGUGGUGAAAUCCCAAGGCUUAACCUUGGAACUGCCAUCAAAACUUUUUAACUAGAGUGUGAUAGAGGAAAGUGGAAUUUCUAGUGUAGAGGUGAAACUCGUAGAUAUUAGAAAGAACACCAAUUGCGAAGGCAACUUUCUGGAUCACUACUGACACUGAGGAGCGAAAGCAUGGGUAGCGAAGAGGAUUAGAUACCCUCGUAGUCCAUGCCGUAAACGAUGUGUGUUAGACGUUGGAAAUUUAAUUUUCAGUGUCGCAGCAAAAGCGUUAAACACACCGCCUGGGGAGUACGACCGCAAGGUUAAAACUCAAAUGAAUUGACGGGGACCCGCACAGGUAGUGGAGCAUGUGGUUUAAUUCGAAGAUACGCGCAGAACCUUACCAACACUUGACAUGUUUGUCGCGACUCUAAGAGAUUAGAGUCUUCGGUUCGGCCGGACAAAACACAGGUGCUGCAUGGCUGUCGUCAGCUCGUGUCGUGAGAUGUUGGGUUAAGUCCCGCAACGAGCGCAACCCUUACUUUUAGUUGCUACCAUUUAGUUGGGCACUCUAAAAGAACUGCCAGUGAUAAGCUGGAGGAAGGCGGGGAUGACGUCAAGUCCUCAUGGCCCUUACGUGUUGGGCUACACACGUGCUACAAUGGUACUCACAGUGAGAAGCGAAGAGGCGACUCCAAGCUAAUCCCAAAAAGGUACCUCGGUUCGGAUUGUACUCUGCAACUCGAGUACAUGAAGCUGGAAUUACUAGUAAUCGCGGAUCAGCGCGCCGCGGUGAAUACGUUCCCGGGUCUUGUACACACCGCCCGUCACACCAUGGAAGUUGGUUACACCUUAAGGCAAAGCUAAAACC